rnacentral:rRNA from 1 species
GACGAACGCUGGCGGCGUGCUUAACACAUGCAAGUCGAACGGAAAGGCCCUACUUUUGUGGGGUGCUCGAGUGGCGAACGGGUGAGUAACACGUGAGUAACCUGCCCUUGACUUUGGGAUAACUUCAGGAAACUGGGGCUAAUACCGGAUAGGAGCUCCUGCUGCAUGGUGGGGGUUGGACAGUUUCGGCGGUUGGGGAUGGACUCGCGGCUUAUCAGCUUGUUGGUGGGGUAGUGGCUUACCAAGGCUUUGACGGGUAGCCGGCCUGAGAGGGUGACCGGCCACAUUGGGACUGAGAUACGGCGCAGACUCCUACGGGAGGCAGCAGUGGGGAAUAUUGCACAAUGGGCGGAAGCCUGAUGCAGCAACGCCGCGUGCGGGAUGACGGCCUUCGGGUUGUAAACCGCUUUCGCCUGUGACGAAGCGUGAGUGACGGUAAUGGGUAAAGAAGCACCGGCUAACUACGUG